rnacentral:rRNA from 1 species
AACCUGCCCAAGAGAUCGGGAUAACACCUGGAAACAGAUGCUAAUACCGGAUAACAACAGAUGAUGCCUAUCAACUGUUUAAAAGAUGGUUCUGCUAUCACUCUUGGAUGGACCUGCGGUGCAUUAGCUAGUUGGUAGGGUAACGGCCUACCAAGGCGAUGAUGCAUAGCCGAGUUGAGAGACUGAUCGGCCACAUUGGGACUGAGACACGGCCCAAACUCCUACGGGAGCAGCAGGG